rnacentral:lncRNA from 1 species
AUGGGAGACAUUACUUCCGGGCAAAGCACAGGCAGCUGGCGUGACUGGACCAACAUGUAAAAAAUGUCUAUAGCCCAGUCAGCUGCCCGUGAUUUGCAUCACGUUCAUGCGCUCGAGUUUGGAGACGACCAGAAGGCGCCAAAACGUAUCUUUAGUUUGCAGGUGGACAAUGAAAUUAAACUGGACGUGGAUGCAGGUCAUGAAUUCAUAUCAGGAAGAUAUUGGGUAAGCUCAGGGGUGAAAGUAAGGCGUUACGGUUCGGUACGGCGUCUCUGCAAAAUAAAUAGUGGGGGUACGCUAUACCGUGUCAAGAAUGGUCCACCAUCCAAAGGACAUCGAGCCAACUUAACAACUGUGGGAAGCAUUGGAGUCAACAUGGGCCAGCAUCCCUGUGGAACGCUUUCAACACCUUGUAGAGUCCAUGUCCCGACGAAUUGAGGCUGUUCUGAGGGCAAAUGGGGUGCAACUGGGGAUCUGCAGCUCAGUGAUCCAUCACCCUCUCUAGCAUCUCACCCACCCUUUGCUGUCAAGCUGUAUUUGUGUGUUAGAACAGUACAGCGAGCGGACCAGUGUCGCUGGUUUAAAUCCCAAGUCUGAUGGGAAACUAAUCGAGUGGGAAUCUAGACUGACAAGAUACUGAGAUGUUGAAAGAGGACGUGGGUCCAUGCAUCCCAACUGUACAGUGCUUCCGCAUUGUCCCCUCCCCUUUUUUACCGUUUAACUGAAACCAGGGAGCGCAAGCGAACCUUACCGAUGUCAUCCAAUCACGGAGAUGUCCGCCCUCCUAGGAAACUACAGUUGACACUCCAGGACUCGACUUCCCAGAGCAUGGAAACGGCAUGCAAGAUGUAACACAAAUACUGUCCGAAGCUCCACCAAUGGGCUACUCUGCAGCUAGGAACAAAGGCAGAGAAGAGGUGAGAGGUGUCCGGAAGCAGCAGCCUGCUGCUAUACAUGCCUGUGUUGCGCCUAGGUGUCAGACUGAAGGCAAGGCACUUUGUUUUAUGUGGCUUUAAAAUGGUUGCCGAUUGUACUGUAUGGACAUGUGGGCGUUUUGGGGGAUUAUAAUUUUUUGUUAAAUCCAUCACUAAGACAACUCAAAUGGAGUGUUUUUCUUCUCUGUAGGAGAUUAUGUAGGUCAUUUAAUCGUAGGCUAUUAUAUAUUUGUAAACAAACAACAAUGAAAUAAAAGUACUUUUCAUUUAGAUUUUAAAUAUUGUUCCCCAAUAAUGCUCCCACAGGUCACAACAGCUGGACAUAGAUUAUCUCGUAUGUCCAGCUGGAGGUCGGCUCCAUCCUCAAAGCCACUCUAACCCCGCCCUACUCUGUACUCUACUGCAUCUCCUGACACACCUGCUAGUGCCCCUGGCCUGACCCAUCCAUUAACCGUUUCAAAGGCCUGACUGAUGGCUGCCCUGACCACUGGCCUGCAGGGCUCUGAGGAGCCACCGUGCGUGAGUGUGUGUGUCUGUGUGUGCGCGUGCGGCUGCAGAAGAGACGUUUGGGGAAAGUUCAGGUGAGAUGAUGAUGAUAUGAAAAUAAACUUGAUUUGAAUACUCAGUCAAAUGUGCUGCAGAGCCCUCUCUCUCUAGCGGUAUGAGAGAGGGAGAUGGAGAAGGUGACCUGUUAAUUAAGUCAACCUUAGUCUCAACGCAAUGUUCUGCAUUUGUUAACAGCUGAUUCUGUGUAGUGUAAUAAAGUUCUCUACACCACUAUCUAUUUUGAAUGAUAGUGAGUUCCAUAGAAUUUCGUUGUGUUUUAGUUUCUGUGAAAAUUGAAUUAGAUUGGAAUUCUAUGAUGUAUUUUACUGGGA